rnacentral:rRNA from 1 species
AGCGAACGCUGGCGGCAGGCUUAACACAUGCAAGUCGAACGGGCGGUAGCAAUACGUCAGUGGCAGACGGGUGAGUAACGCGUGGGAACCGUACCUCUUGGUUCGGAACAACCCCAGGGAAACUUGGGCUAAUACCGGAUAAGCCCUUACGGGGAAAGAUUUAUCGCCGAAAGAUCGGCCCGCGUCUGAUUAGCUAGUUGGUGUGGUAACGGCGCACCAAGGCGACGAUCAGUAGCUGGUCUGAGAGGAUGAUCAGCCACCAUUGGGACUGAGACACGGCCCAAACUCCUACGGGAGGCAGCAGUGGGGAAUAUUGGACAAUGGGCGCAAGCCUGAUCCAGCCAUGCCGCGUGAGUGAUGAAGGCCCUAGGGUUGUAAAGCUCUUUUGUGCGGGAAGA